UACGGGGGGGGCGAGCGUUGUUCGGAAUUACUGGGCGUAAAGCGUGCGUAGGCGGUUCGUUAAGUCUGCUGUGAAAGCCCCGGGCUCAACCUGGGAAUGGCAGUGGAUACUGGCGAGCUAGAGUGUGAUAGAGGAUGGUGGAAUUCCCGGUGUAGCGGUGAAAUGCGUAGAGAUCGGGAGGAACAUCAGUGGCGAAGGCGGCCAUCUGGAUCAACACUGACGCUGAGGCACGAAAGCGUGGGGAGCAAACAGGG
rnacentral:rRNA from 1 species